rnacentral:rRNA from 1 species
AUUGAACGCUGGCGGCAUGCCUUACACAUGCAAGUCGAACGGUAACAGGUUAAGCUGACGAGUGGCGAACGGGUGAGUAAUAUAUCGGAACGUGCCCAGUUGUGGGGGAUAACUACUCGAAAGAGUGGCUAAUACCGCAUGAGACCUGAGGGUGAAAGCGGGGGAUCGCAAGACCUCGCGCAAUUGGAGCGGCCGAUAUCAGAUUAGCUAGUUGGCGGGGUAAAAGCCCACCAAGGCGACGAUCUGUAGCUGGUCUGAGAGGACGACCAGCCACACUGGGACUGAGACACGGCCCAGACUCCUACGGGAGGCAGCAGUGGGGAAUUUUGGACAAUGGACGCAAGUCUGACCCAGCGACGCCGCGUGCGGGAUGAAGGCCUUCGGGUUGUAAACCGCUUUCAGUAGGGAAGAAGCGAAAGUGACGGUACCUACAAAAGAAGCACCGGCUAACUAUGUG